ensembl:lncRNA
AGGGUGGUGGUUAAGGGUUAGGGUGGUGGUUAAGGGUUAGGGUGGUGGUUAAGGGUUAGGGUGGUGGUUAAGGGUUAGGGCGGUGGUUAAGGGUUAGGGUGGUGGUUAAGGGUUAGGGUGGUGGUUAGGGUUAGGGUGGUGGUUAAGGGUUAGGGUUGUGGUUAAGGGUUAGGGUGGUGGUUAAGGGUUAGGGUGGUGGUUUAGGGUUAGGUGGUGGUUAAGGGUUAGGGCGGUGGUUAAGGGUUAGGGUGGUGGUUAAGGGUUAGGGUGGUGGUUAAGGGUUAGGGUGGUGGUUAAGGGUUAGGGUAGUGGUUAAGGGUUAGGGUGGUGGUUAAGGGUUAGGGUGGUGGGUUAGGGUUAGGGUGGUGAUUAAGGGUUAGGG